rnacentral:misc_RNA from 1 species
AGCAGCCGCGGUAAUUCCAGCUCCAAUAGCGUAUAUUAAAGUUGUUGCAGUUAAAAAGCUCGUAGUUGAAUUUCGGGAUCAAUGUGUUGGUCGUGCCUUGGUACGUACUGGCAUUAUCGAUUCCUACCUUCUGAAGAACCUCGAUGUCAUUAAUUUGGUGUCUUGGGGAAUCAGGACUGUUACUUUGAAAAAAUUAGAGUGUUUAAAGCAGGCUCGCGCUUGAAUACAUUAGCCUGGAAUAAUGAAAUAGGACGUUUGAUUCUAUUUUGUUGGUUUCUAGGAUCGACGUAAUGAUUAAUAGGGAUAGUUGGGGGCAUUAGUAUUCAAUUGUCAGAGGUGAAAUUCUUGGAUUUAUUGAAGACUAACUACUGCGAAAGCAUUUGCCAAGGAUGUUUUCAUUAAUCAAGAACGAAAGUUAGGGGAUCGAAGACGAUCAGAUACCGUCGUAGUCUUAACCAUAAACUAUGCCGACUAGGGAUCGGAUGAUGUUAAUUUUUUAAUGACUCAUUCGGCGCCUUAC